UUGAAAGUUCUAAAAAAACAUUUUUUUUGUGUGAUAGUGGCAACCCUGGUGAUGAUUAAUGUCACCAGACAUCUAGAUAAAUUUUUUUGCAAAACAUUGAAAAUUUUGAUUUUGGCAACCCUGGUAGGGUCGAUGAUUAAUAACAUCAGACAACUAGAUUCAAGACAAUUUUUGCAAAACGCUGAAUAUUUUGAUAGUCGCAUAAUUGAAAACAUGUUUUGUCUGCGACACAGUAAACAAAUUUAUCGUUUGGAAAAUUCCCAGUCUUACCGAGUCAUCUCCCGUCAAUCCCUUGACUUGGAGUAGUUCCGCCGUGCGCAGAAACGUGGCCAAAUUCUCCCUGAGAACAUUCACUUCCCCCAUGUACAUGAACUCCAGGAUGUCCUUCAUGUUAUCAUGAGCAACGUCCUUGAGGAUAACAAUGGGGUGUUUGCACGGAUUAACUUUAAACAUUUGCUUGAAAUAGGGACUACAUAUCGAGAGGACGACUUUAUGCGCUUGAAAAAAAUGCCCUUCCACAGCCAACGUAACAUCGACCAUUUCCGAGGACUCCAGCAAUUCGUGGAAGCCCGCAGUGAGGUUAGAAUGAAAAUUAUUCCAACGCAACGAAAACUGCUCAGUCGUGGCCAUUUUGCUAAAUAACAACAAAAGGUUAAGUCUCCAUAAAUAACUCGGGAAAAAAUAGGUCGCUUACUCACCCUUUCCUCAAAAUUAUCACAAUGUAAACACGCAAAAAACCGAAUUAUUACUCAACAAAACCUCGCGUAAAGGCGUAAAACGACGACUUACAUAACACGGACCAAUUUUCCAAACACAACACUUGUAAAAACACGAGUGCAACCCUAAUUAUUCAUUUCCGGGACCAAUCCGGGCAUCCGGGAUGCGUGAUUGACUGGUGACAACUGAAAACAGUGCUACCAACCGGCGCUGAAAACCGCCAAUGGCGGGAGGUUUGAAACUGGAGCUUUAUUCAUUCUUAUCAAAACUAUACACAUACAAAUAGAAAUAUUUAUUGGUUCAGUCAAUGGAUCACUUGGUACUCGAAAAGUCCGAGAAGCUGCCACGAGACAUCGAAGAAAAUUCACCAGGGCUGAAGACGUCGCGACGCUUUGUUAUCACCCGUUUCAGGAUAUCGGCGACGCCGGUGUUCAGCAACGCGUUUAUGCAACUACUGCUUGAAGACUGAGGGGCGGACUUCUGCAGUUGCUGCCUCUCCUGAGACUCCAUAGCGUACGAAAAUGACCGCUCUCUUUGCACUAUCACUUCGUCUUUGACCGAAUUCUAGAUUAAAAACCACAAAAUUAACAAAGUUCUGUUUCACAUUUAAUAAAAAUUUAAAAAAAAAAUGGUAGUUAUGCAACCAGUUAUACAUGUGUAUCAGACUGAUUACAUAACCUCACUAGAAGUCCCAAUGAAAUUUGGACUUACGUGUUGCGAAUACGGUGCAGAAUAGUACGAGUCGUUCUUCGAGUCGUCAAACUCGUGGUCCGCCCUCUUGAGGGCAUUUUGUAGGAUUUCAGUGAUCCUCUGUGCACACUUGAUCGCUUCAUUGAUCUCAUCCACUGUUAACAUGACUUGUUCCAGGGACAUUUUUUCGGUGAAUUCGCGUUGUGUACUGCACGUACUUUUCGCGUCUGAGAGUUCAUCACCGGUCCGAUCUUCAUUCGAGGUACUCAAGUAUGGACUUGAGAGAUACCGACUCCUCGCACUGUUAUAAUUCAACCAAAAAUUAUUCCACUCGCCCACUUUGUUAUCGACAUCGGAGACUUCGGCCGUGGUGGCGCUCCCAAAGUACUCGCUGUUGACGCUCUCGAUCCAACUGAGGUAGCUUGAGCCGGGACUCAUGAGGGUUUUCUCCUCCCUGCCGGUCUCGGUGGUGCUGCGGACCGCGUAGUCGGUGCAGUCGGACGAUGAGGACUCCAUGGAGCUGCACUCGCGGCUCGGGUAGAGGGAGGACGUGGAGAAGGAGCUUUUGGUUUUGUACUCGGAUAUGGACUCCAAACUAAGCCUAAAGAACUGAUUGAAAUAACACGAAAAAAAUUAAUAAUUUCAUGAAACCUGUAGGUGCUAUCCAGCGACUUGCGAUACCCCUUCUCCUCCCCAUUCAGACUCGCCUCCUUGUCGAUCUUCUUCGCCGCCCGUUUCACCGUCCCCGUGCGACUGAACACCGGCGCCGCCGAGCCAAAGAGCGUCAAGUCGGUGAAGUCGUUACUCUCUCGCAUCAUCAACGCCUGAUUCGGCGAACUGUUGGACGAUUCUGAGUGCGAAUUGGAGUCUUUGGUACUGCCUUCGUGCGACAUACUCCACACAUUGAUUUGGACUUUUGACUAUUUAUCGCCGUCGGGGGUUCAGUGGUACUAAGGGCGAGGUGUGUGGUCACGCUCCAGGAACUAAGAGUAUCCAUGCCAACGAUUAACCGACGCAAAUCUUCACGAAUCGCUGGGUAUCCAUCGCCGUUAAAUCAAUAGGAGGGUUAAUGUGACGAAAAUAGGCCGGGCUUGCGACCGAACCUUCAAAACUUGAACGAAAUAAUCAGCCGGGUCAACAUUGGAGUUCAAGUCAAACACAGUUUCAGCUACAUAAAUUCUGUAUUUGAUAAUAUUUCAGUUACACAUAACGGGUUAAUGAAUCGUACGGCCUGAAACCGAGUCUCACAGGUAGUUAGAAUUAUAGUCAUAUAUCUACAGGUGAGAGAUUGAAGUUUAUGAUAAGAAGGCACCGCUGAAAGAAGACGGGGAAUUCAAUACAAUCGCCUAAAUUGUUGAAAACUGAAAAAAUCGCGAUCGCAAUGAACUAAAAUAAUUCAUUCACACUAAAUCUGGAUGAAUUUAUUAAUCGUAUAAAUACUAUGUACAAACUAAAAUCCAUUUAUUGCUAAAACAUGAUGGAACAUUGCAUGAUACACAAAACCCUUAAAGAAAAUACAAAUAAUAUCAGAAGAGUCAUUUCUGUAGGAAUAACAUGUAUCGGUACCUGCGGUUUAUAUUAUUGCCAACUAACAAACCAAAACCACUCGUCCCUUUUUCUAAAAAUUGCAGAAACAUCUAAAAUGUUUAAUUUUAGGCAACAACGCUUGUUUUUUUUUUUUAAUUUAAUCACUAUACACGAAACACACACCACAAUAAUAGUGCGUAGAUUCACUUAUUUACUUAAAUAUAAAUCAGUCAUUUAAUCUUAGCUACUCUAGCAGCGCCCUAGUUGAGGAGACUAGACCUACGCUUGGUGCGACAAUAUGAUGAUGCGAGUACAUUAUUGCGAAAUACAAAACUGAAUUGACUUGAGUGGAACUUUGUAUCAGCAAAAUAUCAAUCAUUGGCGUCAUUUUGUCGACGGACGCUUUCCCAACAUUUCCCAACUGGAAAACCGCCCGAAAUUGGAGUUUACGAAGCUGAUUAGAUUGUCACGAUAAGCAAUGGAAAACACUUUAGACGUUUCGUGCCAAUCGGACCAGAACUUCCGACAAAUCAAAAAUAAGGCAACCAAUGUGGGAAAACUAACCCUUCUUUGACUAUGGUGGUGGGGAAGACGAAAAGUUGAGUCAGAGUUCUGGUCUAGGUGUACUGAUGUUAGAAAUAAAUUGUGACAUCAAUACCGAAACAAACUACGCAUAUAUACAGGGUGUCCAGCAAAGACAGAGGAACUUUUUUCUUAUUUUGAUCUAGGGAACCUCCCCCAAAAACGUUUCAACGUUUUUCCCGCACACCCUGUAUAUCGUCCAACCAACAACUGUAACCAAUUCAACCGACAACCUACCAAUCCCAACUACUUACAUGUCUAAAGUGAAAAUAUCCUCAUAUGUUCUAACAAAUAACAAAUUAGGUACAAAUAUACGCGCGAUUCAACAACACUCAAGAUCGUUCACGGAUGCGUAUUGAAGCAGCUAAUAUAGUCUUCUAGGCGUUGGACUCUUUGAGAUCUUGUAGUCGGGCCAGCUGAUGGGGCUCAAGUUCGUCGGGGAUGCUAGCCCUGCCGCCGACCACCUGUUUGGGUUCGCUGACCACAUGACUCACCGAAUUUUCGGCGGUGCUAGGCCCCGUCGUCUCACCAUCGCUGCCCGUGCUACUACUGACGACAAACGGCGUCGAAUCGCCGUCGGGUUCGGCCGCCACCGGUGUCUCCUCCUCGUCCUCUUCAGGUAUGGGGGCGGUUUCCUCGCGAUGGUUGACAGGUGGGUCUUCAGGGGGUGGAAAUGGGUGUUCGGGUUCUUCCAUCAUGGGCGUGGCGGCGGUUAUUACGAUUUGGGCCACGCCGAGGCCUAAAUCGUCCUGUUGUGGGUCGGAUUCAGGACCGGCUUGAUCAUCCUAACCAAGUAAAAUAAAGUGAAAAAUUGAAAAACCCAAAAUGGUUUAAGACAAAUUACCUCACCAACGAUUUCGACGCUCGGAACGUCGAUCGCUGCAUGAAAAGGAGUCUUACUUCAGCUGCUACUAAAAAAUUGGGGACAUCAGGUGGUGUGAAAACGGGUGGUGCAGACUGGGGUGGUGUUUCGUCCCACUGAUUCGUCAAUGGUUCUCCGAAUUCGUCGCAUUCUUCCACCACCAAUGAAGGAAAGUUUCCGAUUCGACCUUCCAGUUCUCCCUUCCACCAUCCAUCAUCGACACUAUGUGCACAUUUACUCAAAACUUUGAUUAUUUGACCCUCUUCGAAAGUGAGUUCUUCGCCACCUUCGCCGUCAUAAUCGUAGAGGGCAAUGCAGUAGGAUGCUGCAGUGAAAUGACUGAGACUUGUUCUGGCGACUGAUUUGUCGUCUCUGACGGUGCUUGCACUUCCUCCUCGUUAUCUACGGUGUAGUCUACCGAUGAAAAUGAUAUUUGAUUGACUAGUCCUGGCGUCGUCGCCGUCUGUUCUCGCUCCACGUCCAGGUAAUUAUGUGAUGCAAUCGAUACUACAAAAUGGAAAAAUUUAUUUUGAAAAAAAAUAUCCACUAGUUCAGCGUUUCCCAAACUGUGGUUCGCCGAAAAAAAUGCUGAUUAGUUGAUUAUGCAUAAUGAAUUAUGCAGUUUAUUGAGUGUAAUAAAGUCUAUU